rnacentral:rRNA from 1 species
GAUGAACGCUAGCUACAGGCUUAACACAUGCAAGUCGCGGAGCAUCAUGGAGGUUGCUUGCAAUUUCUGAUGGCGACCGGCGCACGGGUGAGUAACGCGUAUCCAACCUUCCCAUUACUACGGCAUACCCCGUUGAAAGGCGGCCUAAUUCCGUAUGCAGUCCGAAGCAGUCAUCUAAUUUGGACGAAAGGUAUAUUCUAUCGGUAAUGGAUGGGGAUGCGUCCGAUUAGCCAGCCGGCGGGGUAACGGCCCACCGGGGCAUUGAUCGGUAGGGGUUCUGAGAGGAAGGUCCCCCACACUGGAACUGAGACACGGUCCAGACUCCUACGGGAGGCAGCAGUGAGGAAUAUUGGUCAAUGGGCGUAAGCCUGAACCAGCCAAGUAGCGUGCAGGAUGACGGCCCUAUGGGUUGUAAACUGCUUUUAUGCGGGGAUAAAGUUGGGGACGUGUCCCUUUUUGCAGGUACCGCAUGAAUAAGGACCGGCUAAUUCCGUGCCAGCAGCCGCGGUAAUACGGAAGGUCCGGGCGUUAUCCGGAUUUAUUGGGUUUAAAGGGAGCGUAGGCAGUUUUUUAAGCGUGCUGUGAAAUGUACCGGCUCAACCGGUGAUGUGCAGCGCGAACUGGGAAUCUUGAGUACGCAGUAAGCAGGCGGAAUUCGUGGUGUAGCGGUGAAAUGCUUAGAUAUCACGAAGAACUCCGAUUGCGUAGGCAGCUUGCUGUAGCGUAACUGACGCUGAAGCUCGAAAGUGCGGGUAUCGAACAGG